rnacentral:rRNA from 1 species
GAUUAACGCUGGCGGCGUGCAUAACACAUGCAAGUCGAACGAUGAAACUUAACUGAUUUCUUCGGAAUGAUUUUAAGUGGAUUAGUGGCGGACGGGUGAGUAACGCGUGAGUAACCUGCCUUGGAGAAGGGGAUAGCCUUUGGAAACGAAGGAUAAUACCCUAUGAUAUGAUAAUAUCUCAUGAUAUUAUCAUCAAAGAUUUAUCGCUCUAAGAUGGACUUGCGUCUGAUUAGUUAGUUGGUGAGGUAACAGCUCACCAAGGCAGCGAUCAGUAGCCGGCUUGAGAGAGUGUACGGCCACAUUGGGACUGAGACACGGCCCAGACUCCUACGGGAGGCAGCAGUGGGGAAUUUUGCACAAUGGGGGAAACCCUGAUGCAGCGACGCCGCGUGAUUUAGAAGGCCUUCGGGUUGUAAAAAUCUUUUGUAUGGGAAGAAAAUGACAGUACCAUACGAAUAAGGACCGGCUAAUUACGUG